GACGAACGCUGGCGGCGUGCUUAACACAUGCCAGUCGAACGGAAAGGCCCUGCGUUUGUGGGUUGCUCGAGUGGCGAACACGUGAGUAACACGUGAGUAACCUGCCCUUGUCUUUGGGAUAACUUCAGGAAACUGGGGCUAAUACCGGAUAGGAGCUCCUGCAGCAUGGUGGGGGUUGGAGAGUUUCGGCUGUUGUGGCUGGACUCGCGGCUUAUCAGCUUGUUGGUGGGGUAGUGGCUUACCAAGGCUUUGACGGGUAGCCGGCCUGAGAGGGUGACCGGGCUCCAGGGGACUGAGAUACGGACCAGACUCCUACGGGAGGCAGCAGUGGGGAAUAUUGCACAAUGGGCGGAAGCCUGAUGCAGCAACGUCGCGUGCGGGAUGACGGCCUUCGGGUUGUAAACAGCUGUCGCCUGUGACGAAGCGUGAGUGACGGUAAUGGGUAAAGAAGCACCGGCUAACUACGUG
rnacentral:rRNA from 1 species